rnacentral:rRNA from 1 species
UGCAGUCGAGCGGAUGACAGGAGCUUGCUCCUGAAUUCAGCGGCGGACGGGUGAGUAAUGCCUAGGAAUCUGCCUGGUAGUGGGGGACAACGUUUCGAAAGGAACGCUAAUACCGCAUACGUCCUACGGGAGAAAGCAGGGGACCUUCGGGCCUUGCGCUAUCAGAUGAGCCUAGGUCGGAUUAGCUAGUUGGUGAGGUAAUGGCUCACCAAGGCGACGAUCCGUAACUGGUCUGAGAGGAUGAUCAGUCACACUGGAACUGAGACACGGUCCAGACUCCUACGGGAGGCAGCAGUGGGGAAUAUUGGACAAUGGGCGAAAGCCUGAUCCAGCCAUGCCGCGUGUGUGAAGAAGGUCUUCGGAUUGUAAAGCACUUUAAGUUGGGAGGAAGGGUUGUAGAUUAAUACUCUGCAAUUUUGACGUUACCGACAGAAUAAGCACCGGCUAACUCUGUGCCAGCAGCCGCGGUAAUACAGAGGGUGCAAGCGUUAAUCGGAAUUACUGGGCGUAAAGCGCGCGUAGGUGGUUCGUUAAGUUGGAUGUGAAAUCCCCGGGCUCAACCUGGGAACUGCAUUCAAAACUGUCGAGCUAGAGUAUGGUAGAGGGUGGUGGAAUUUCCUGUGUAGCGGUGAAAUGCGUACAUAUAGGAAGGAACACCAAUGGCGAAGGCGACCACCUGGACUGAUACUGACACUGAGGUGCGAAAGCGUGGGGAGC